rnacentral:rRNA from 1 species
UUGGAGGGCAAGUCUGGUGCCAGCAGCCGCGGUAAUUCCAGCUCCAAUAGCGUAUAUUAAAGUUGUUGCAGUUAAAAAGCUCGUAGUUGAAUUUCGGGGUUCUACCGUUGGUCGGGCUAACCAGUCUGUACUAGCGUGUAAAAUUCCUACCUUCUGGAGAACCAUCAUGUUAUUAAUUUAGCGUGGUGGGAAACCAGGACCUUUACCUUGAAAAAAUUAGAGUGUUCAAAGCAGGCUUACGUCUGAAUACAUUAGCAUGGAAUAAUAGAAUAGGACGGUGGUCCUGUUUUGUUGGUUUCUGAAUCACCGUAAUGAUUAAUAGGGAUAGUUGGGGGCAUUAGUAUUCAAUUGUCAGAGGUGAAAUUCUUGGAUUUAUUGAAGACUAACUACUGCGAAAGCAUUUGCCAAGGAUGUUUUCAUUAAUCAAGAACGAAAGUUAGGGGAUCGAAGACGAUCAGAUACCGUCGUAGUCUUAACCAUAAACUAUGCCGACUAGGGAUCGGAUGAUGUUAAUUUUUUAAUGACUCAUUCGGCGCCUUACGGGAAAC